rnacentral:rRNA from 1 species
GGCGACCGGCGCACGGGUGAGUAACACGUAUCCAACCUGCCGAUAACUCGGGGUCUCCCUGGCGAAAGAAAGAUUAAUACCCGAUGGUAUAAUCAGACCGCAUGGUCUUGUUAUUAAAGAAUUUCGGUUAUCGAUGGGGAUGCGUUCCAUUAGGCAGUUGGUGAGGUAACGGCUCACCAAACCUUCGAUGGAUAGGGGUUCUGAGAGGAAGGUCCCCCACAUUGGAACUGAGACACGGUCCAAACUCCUACGGGAGGCAGCAGUGAGGAAUAUUGGUCAAUGGGCGCAGGCCUGAACCAGCCAAGUAGCGUGAAGGAUGAGGGGGCGGUAGGGAGUAAACUUCUUUUAUAUGGGAAUAAAGUUUUCCACGUGUGGAAUUUUGUAUGUACCAUAUGAAUAAGGAUCGGCUAACUCCGUGCCAGCAGCCGCGGUAAUACGGAGGAUCCGAGCGUUAUCCGGAUUUAUUGGGUUUAAAGGGAGCGUAGGUGGACAGUUAAGUCAGUUGUGAAAGUUUGCGGCUCAACCGUAAAAUUGCAGUUGAUACUGGCUGUCUUGAGUACAGUAGAGGUGGGCGGAAUUCCGUGGUGUAGCGGGGAAAUGCUUAGAUAUCACGAAAAAACUCCCAUUGCGAAGGCAGCCCACUGGACUGCAACUGACACUGAUGCUGGAAAGUGUGGGUAUCAAACAGGAUUGGAUACCCUGGUAGUCCACACGGUAAACGAUGAAUACUCGCUGUUUGCGAUAUACUGCAAGCGGCCAAGCGAAAGCGUUAAGUAUUCCACCUGGGGAGUACGCCGGCAACGGUGAAACUCAAAGGAAUUGACGGGGGCCCGCACAAGCGGAGGAACAUGUGGUUUAAUUCGAUGAUACGCGAGGAACCUUACCCGGGCUUAAAUUGCAGAUGAAUUACGGUGAAAGCCGUAAGCCGCAAGGCAUCUGUGAAGGUGCUGCAUGGUUGUCGUCAGCUCGUGCCGUGAGGUGUCGGCUUAAGUGCCAUACCGAGCGCAACCCUUGUUGUCAGUUACUAACAGGUUCCGCUGAGGACUCUGACAAGACUGCCAUCGUAAGAUGUGAGGAAGGUGGGGAUGACGUCAAAUCAGCACGGCCCUUACGUCCGGGGCUACACACGUGUUACAAUGGGGGGUACAGAGGGCCGCUACCACGCGAGUGGAUGCCAAUCCCAAAAACCUCUCUCAGUUCGGACUGGAGUCUGCAACCCGACUCCACGAAGCUGGAUUCGCUAGUAAUCGCGCAUCAGCCACGGCGCGGUGAAUACGUUCCCGGGCCUUGUACACACCGCCCGUCAAGCCAUGGGAGCCGGGGGUACCUGAAGUGCGUA